AGCCGCUGUUCAUUCCUGCAGGAUUAUUGAAUUCACGCUAUUGCAUCAAACCUGCUUGCUUUGGCAUGGCUCCAGCCUGUGCCGCUGACCUCCGGCCGCCGGGCCCACCCCAGGGGAGCCCUGUAGCUUAGGGCCCAGCCCGCCCGGCCGGGGCCCAGAGAGAGAGGGGAGGAGAAGGAGACCACGAAGAAGAAGAGGAAGACGAAAACGAAGAGGAAGAAGAGGAGGAAGGCGUGUCGGGGCGAGGGGGCUGAAGCCAGCCAGGCUGAGGACGAUGCUGCUGCCCUGGCUUCUGAUGCUGCUACUGCAAGAGAGCUGAGGAGCCGAGACACAGCGAAGAAGAUCCCACACACACAAACAGGCGUACAGAGCUCCUUCACACGGCCCUCCGCCAGGGGGGACCCUUUUGCUGGCCUGGACCAUGAGCAAUGAGUCUGCCGUCUGGAACAUCCUACCAGAAAACUCCACAGUAAGUCUGUCAACA
ensembl:lncRNA